ensembl:lincRNA
CUUAUUACACCCUCAUUAAAGGAUGUGCUCUAAGCCAGUCCUCAGCCUGGGUCUUUUGAUGCAAUUUAGUCUUGAACAUCAUGCUGUUUCCUGAAGCUAACGCAGUAAAGCAUGGUGAGUUUCAGUUAUGAAAGCAAGGUGGUAAUAUGGCAAUUUUUUUUUCUUGUUCCAUAUUCUCCCCCUCCAUUUAAUUCACUGGAAAUAUGAAACUGUUAGCCAAGGGUGGUGACACAAACCUGCAAUCCCAGCACACUAGGAGGCUAACGCAGGUGAAUCUCAAAUUCAAGCCCAGCCUGAGCAAUUUAGCAACUUAGUAACUCUGUUUCAAAUAAAACAUAAAACAGGUUGAAGGAUGUAGCUUAGAGUUAAUUACGUCAAAUGCAUAAUUUUUUUGAAUGGGAAGUUUUUCACCAAAAGAAAUAAACUGAGCACGACAACUAUUUAAAGCAAUUGCAAAUAGGUGCAAUUUUAUUUUAUUAAGCAUGUAAAUACGUGUCAACUUUCUACCUUGUUCUUCUACUCAGGUAUUUCAUCUAACCUGCAUUGAAGUCAUUUGCGUGUUUACGGAAAUAAAGCUCACCGUGAAAGUGAUUUGCAUGUAGAACUCACAUUUUUAAUUGCAAUUUUCUUUCAGAAAGAACCAAAACAAUUAUAAUGCCAAGAACAAUCUGCGCUCCGAAGUGGGACAGAAAGUUGUGCUCGGUUCCCACCGCCCAUGGCGUGAGGAAGCGCGGACACCGGGCCUGGACAGACGCUGGGUCACCAGUAGAGGUGUCUUCGGUCACUUUUCUCGCAGACUUUGGAGGGUAAAGUGGGGAUUUGGUUGACCUACCAAAGUGUGCCCGGCGCUCCGGUUCACGUCGGCUCCUCGGAUCACCGCAAUCUGGGAACCGGACUGACUUCGCGACACUGCCCCCAGGACUGGACCGGCCCCGGGCCAGGUCUUCAUCGCCGGCUCCAUGCCGCGGGUCCCUAGGGGACGGGGCGGGAGCGCUGCCGGAGUCGCGCCUCAUUGGCUCGCGCCCGGGGCUGGACCGGGCCUUGCGACCGCGGAUUGGACGGCUCCGCCCCCUGCAAGCGGAGGUCAUUGGUGGGCGCAUGGUCGGGGGCGGGGCAGGGUUCCCAGGGUUCCUGACCGAGAGCUACUGUCGCUGAUCCGGGCGCCGACCGCGGGACCAGAGCUGCGCGGUAGCCGGGCUGGGGCACCUCGGCCGGGACAGGGACUCCCAGGGAUCGCGGGGCCGAGCUGCGGCCGGCUGGUUCUCUCGGCAGCGGGCCUUCGGGGACAGCGUCUGUCAGCGCCCAGUCCGCUCCGGCUACCCGCGGCGCCGAGGGGAAGCGGGACAGCGCGCCCCCCAUCAGCUGUCAGGCGGGCGGCCGGAGACACAAAGAGCGCGGUGGGCGGCGACGGCAACCGGGCACGGCCACUCCCCGCCGCCCGCUCCUGCGGGGCCCGAUCCGGGAGACAAUGCCCAGCUCGGACCGCCGCGUCCCGACCGGACCGCGACGUCCCCGGCCUGGGUCGCGCCGGCCCCGCUGGGAAGCAGCGCCCCCCGCAGGAGGAGCUCGCGGGCGGCCGCUCCUGUUCCCGGCCGGGAAAAGUUUGCGGCGGGGCCGUGCGGCGUCCGUGGCCGGCCGGCCACUCUCCGGACUCGGCGUGGGCGCGAGGUCCAAGCGUCCCCGGCGCGCCUUGGAGAGUUGCUGUAGAAGAAGCAAAAAGGAAGCCACCGCUGGAGGAGAUAAGUAGCUCUGGACAUAAUGCAAGGUCACAUUUCCAGCUGGUAAUUGUUGAGCAACAGGGAAAAUGCAAGAAGAAAGAUGUGCUGUACAAACUAACUUACAGAAAUCCUCCUGGAGACCAGUCUCAAAGAUCUUUGAAAUGUUGCUUCCUGCCAGGGGACGUGGAUUUUAUGGGAAACUCCAGAAUCUGUUAUUGA